rnacentral:rRNA from 1 species
GACAGAGGGUGCAAACGUUGUUCGGAAUUACUGGGCGUAAAGCGUGUGUAGGCGGCCAUUCAAGUCGGAUGUGAAAGCCCCGGGCUCAACCCGGGAAGUGCACCCGAAACUGGAUGGCUUGAGUAUCGGAGAGGUUGGUGGAAUUCUCGGUGUAGAGGUGAAAUUCGUAGAUAUCGAGAGGAACACCGGUGGCGAAGGCGGUGAGCUGGGCAGUAGCUGACACUGAGGCGCGACAGCGUGGGGGAGCAAACAGG